rnacentral:lncRNA from 1 species
GUCUCUCAUUAUUCCAUAAUAUGCUUUGCUUCACCUAGAGCUUUGGUUUCAAUGAUUUCUUUUUCUGUUUCACUUUCUUUUAUUUUCUUUUCUUUUUUAAUUUUAAUUUUAUUUUAUUUUAUUUUUUUAAAAGAAAAAAUAUAAGGGUUUUUGAGGAAGUGAAAGAUACGGGACAAUUGUUUUCUUAUUUUCUAGAUUCUCUCUACCUUCCAUGCUUUUUGGGUACACAUAAUAUUUU